UUUGUGGAGGGUUCGAUUCUGGCUCAGGAUGAACGCUGGCGGCGUGCUUAACACAUGCAAGUCGAACGGGAUCCAUCAGGCUUUGCUUGGUGGUGAGAGUGGCGAACGGGUGAGUAAUGCGUGACCGACCUGCCCCAUGCACCGGAAUAGCUCCUGGAAACGGGUGGUAAUGCCGGAUGCUCCAUCACACCGCAUGGUGUGUUGGGAAAGCCUUUGCGGCAUGGGAUGGGGUCGCGUCCUAUCAGCUUGAUGGCGGGGUAACGGCCCACCAUGGCUUCGACGGGUAGCCGGCCUGAGAGGGCGACCGGCCACAUUGG
rnacentral:rRNA from 1 species